rnacentral:rRNA from 1 species
UCCUACGGGAGGCAGCAGUGAGGAAUAUUGGUCAAUGGGCGCAAGCCUGAACCAGCCAGUCGCGUGCAGGAAGACUGCCCUAUGGGUUGUAAACUGCUUUUAUAGUAGAAGAAACACAUCUACGUGUAGAUGUCUGCCAGUAUACUAUGAAUAAGCAUCGGCUAACUCCGUGCCAGCAGCCGCGGUAAUACGGAGGAUGCAAGCGUUAUCCGGAUUUAUUGGGUUUAAAGGGUGCGUAGGCGGGACUGUAAGUCAGGGGUGAAAUACUGCAGCUUAACUGUAGCAUUGCCUUUGAAACUGCCGUUCUUGAGUACAGUUGAGGUAGGCGGAAUGUGGUGUGUAGCGGUGAAAUGCAUAGAUAUACCACAGAACGCCGAUUGCGAAGGCAGCUUACUAAGCUGUUACUGACGCUGAGGCACGAAAGCGUGGGGAUCAAACAGGAUUAGAUACCCUGGUAGUCCACGCUGUAAACGAUGAUUACUGGUUGUUAGCGAUAUAUAGNUAGUGAC